AACUUGUGAAACAUUUUAUGAGAGUAAAAGCUGAACACUAGCUCUUCCCAUCAGCUGGAACUUGACAGUCCUAAGUAUUGGCAUUAGAAAGCACCCCCUAUCUGAAGUUAUACUUCCCCAAAUUUUAUUCCGAAGAGGUCCUCAUUAUCAAGAUACGGAUAGGUUCAAAGCACCAGGCUUUUUCUGUAUUCAGAAGAGGAACAAUAUUUGUCAUGUUCCAACAUCACAGCUGCACUUCCUACCAUAACUCAUUUCAUCAAGCAAGGGCUGUGACUUCAGGAGAACCAAUUAGAGACUAAUUGCUUUAAACACGGUCAUACUUCAUUGUGCAGCCUUAACAGUGAAUCAAUACACAAUGGUUCUGCAUCAACUCAAUCAAGAUUCUCUUGGGAGGAAGGUUUUGGGCACCAUCCUGUAUCCACUCAAGAACUUCUCACUGACUAAUAAAACCAAAACAAGCACAUAACCAUACUUCCCUUCACAGGCAUCACAGGACUUAAGAAAAAGCAUGCACAGGAAUUAUGCUUCAGUUUUCAUUAGAUGUCCACAAAUUCCAGUGUUAUAAGGGGGGGGGGUAAAAGAAUUUCUCCAUAUCAUGACCCACAAGAUUCACAUACUCUUCCCAUGCUGUCCUCUUUCUCCACCCCUCCAGCUUGGGCCCUGUAAUCCAGUUUUGUGUUCUGUAUUUCUCAUUACAUCUGAAACAUAGAAAUAUUGUUUAAUGUUGGGUUACCAGCCAGGAUCUUAAACCUGGUUUAAACUAUGGUUUAAGAUCCUAGGAUUUAUCAUUUCAGACACAAUCUCUGUCUUAGAGAUCAUGAUGGCAUGGAAGAAGAGAAAAGAAAUGAAAUGAGACAGAUCUGGACCUAUGCUUGUUCAUAAUUUAGGAAUCUGGAAUCAAUGCAUCCAAACCAGCCCAUGCUCAAUGGUGUUUGGGCUACAGUUUGUAAUUUGACUUCAAAUGUUUCUGUAUUUUGAUAGCAGCAUUCAUACACAUAACUAUCUUGAUUAACUUUUACAUAAUAUUAUACAGUGGUACCUCGGUUUUCUAGGGACGUGGGUGGCACUGUGGGUUAAACCACAGAGACUAGGACUUGCCGAUCAGAAGGUCAGCGGUUCGAACCCCUGUGACGGGGUGAGCUCCCGUUGCUCGGUCCCAGCUCCUGCCAACCUUGCAGUUUGAAAGCACGUCAAAGUGCAAGUAGAUAAAUAGGUACCGCUCCGGCAGGAAGGUAAACGGCAUUUCCAUGCGCUGCUCUGGUUCGCCAGAAGCAGCUUAGUCAUGCUGGCCACAUGACCCAGAAGCUGUACACCGGCUCCCUUGGCCAAUAAAGCGAGAUGAGCGCUGCAACCCCAGAGUCAGUCAUGACUGGACCUAAUGGUCAGGGAUCCCUUUACCUUUACCUUUACCUUUACCUCAGUUUUCGAGCAUCUAAGAAGCUGGACAUUUCGGUUUUCGAACCCUGAAAACCCAGAAGUAAUUGCUUCCAUUUUAGAAUGCUUUUCGGAAGUCGAGUGGCUUCCAGGGAGGUUUUUUCAAUUUUAUCCAUUGACUUUGCACCUCAGUUGUCAAACGUUUCAGAAGUCAAAUGGUCUUCUGGAACAGAUUACAUUCGACAACCAAGGUACCACUGUAUUUUAUACACAUUAACCAGAUACAUAGAUAGGUAGAUGAUGAUAGGCUAGAUAGAUAGAUAGAUAGAUGAUAGAUAGAUAGAUAGAUAGAUAGAUAGAUAGAUAGAUGAUAGAGGAUAGAGAUAGAUGAUAGAUAGAUAGAUAGAUAGAUAGAUAGAUAGAUAGAUGAACCCUCUUGAUCACCUUGGCUUUCUGUCAGAAGAAACUGCAAGGCAGUAAAAAUGUUCAGUAAACCCCUUUUAUUGUUUUAUGGGAAACUUUAACAAUGAAUGAGAAAAGGUCUGGUCUCUAUUCAAAAAGCUGAUAAGACAAGUGUGAGCACCUCAUAUCCUCAGAGUAGUGAAGUAAUCAAAGUUUCCUAGUACCAUGGCAAAUAUAUGUAACUUUCUAAUAAAUAUUGCACUUCCUCCACAAUGCAGCAGGAACAGAAGGGAAAUAUGGUAUAUAUUUCCUUCUUCCUGGCUGUAGUACAUCUGCAGACUGCAGUAGCUUGUAUUGUUUUGUUUGCAAAAGAAAGGAAAAAGGGAAAUUGCACAGAUUUUGGAGUGCAAAUAAUAUAUACAAGUAGUAUAAAUGAAAUUAUAGCAAGAAGGAAACAUGUAGCAAAAUGUAGAUUUGUGUGUGCAGAAAUGAAUGCACACAAAAAUGCAUCUCCAUAUAAAAACUGCACAUAUUAUUGGCAGGCAGUGGUGUCGCAAGGGGGUGGGGGGGCGGUGCGUCCCGGGGGCCAUGUCUGGGGGGGUGACAAGAAGGCACCCCGUGUGGUGCUCGCCCCGCAGCCCCCGGGUGAAGGAUCCUCCGUUUGCGGCUGCGGCCAUGAGCAGAGGAUCCCGCCACCGUCCAUACGCCGUUUGAGCGGCGCCAGCGGCAAACCGCUAUGUACAACGCAUGCGUGGCGUUGCACACAUGCGCUCUACGUAGCGACGCCACACACACACUGUACAUAGCGGUUUGCCACCGGCGCUGCUCGAGUGCUGUACGGACGGCGGUGGGAUCUUGCCACCACUGCUACAUCCACAAGUGGAGGAUCCCACCACCAUCCGUAUGGCGCUCAGGCGGUGCCGGAGGCAAACCGCUACAUACAACACAUGUGCAGUGUCACACGCAUACGCUGUGCAUAGUGCCACCACACAUGCACCCUACGCAUUUGUCACACAUUUGUCAUACGUAGCGGCACAAUGCGUGCGCAGCUGGCAGUUUGCCCCACCCCAGGCGUCUGUUAGCCUCCAUUCGCCCCUGUUGGCAGGGCCCUUAUUGCUUUAGCAUGUGCCUAGCUGAAAGGUUGAGUGACAUCGGAAGAACCCUGGAAAGCCAAUGUCCACCAGAAUGGGCAAUACUGGCCUACACGGACCAACAGAAUGAGCUUAUGAGAUGCAGCACUUCUUCUGGGUUGGGGAGGCAGAAGGCAUGGCAGCCAAAUUGCUAAAGCUUGCAAAUCCACGCAACAGCCCUGUUGCAUAAGGCCCAGCAUCCUGUCCUCAUUGCAACCAAC